GUUUCUGUAGUGUAGUGGUUAUCACGUUCGCUUUACACGCGAAAGGUCCCUGGUUCGAAACCGGGGCAGAAGCA
rnacentral:tRNA from 1 species